CCUACGGGAGGCAGCAGUGAGGAAUAUUGGUCAAUGGGCGGAAGCCUGAACCAGCCACGUAGCGUGAAGGAUGACGGCCCUACGGGUGGUAAACUGCUUUUAUACGGGAAUAACGCGCCGUACGUGUAGGGCUUUGCAUGUACCGUAUGAAUAAGGCCCGGCUAAUUCCGUGCCAGCAGCCGCGGUAAUACGGAAGGUCCGGGCGUUAUCCGGAUUUAUUGGGUUUAAAGGGAGCGUAGGCAGCAUGUAAAGCGUGCUGUGAAAUGUCCGGGCUCAACCCGGGCCUUGCAGCGCGAACUGGCGUGCUUGAGUCCGCGGAAAGCAGGCGGAAUUCGUCGUGUAGCGGUGAAAUGCUUAGAUAUGACGAAGAACCCCGAUUGCGAAGGCAGCUUGCUGCAGCGGAACUGACGCUGAUGCUCGAAAGCGCGGGUAUCGAACAGGAUUAGAUACCCCAGUAGUC
rnacentral:rRNA from 1 species